rnacentral:rRNA from 1 species
CCUACGGGAGGCAGCAGUGGGGAAUCUUGCGCAAUGGGGCGAAAGCCUGACGCAGCAACGCCGCGUGCGGGAAGAAGGCUCUCGGGUUGUAAACCGCUUUCAGCAGGAACGAAAAUGACGGUACUUGCAGAAGAAGGUGCGGCCAACUACGUGCCAGCAGCCGCGGUGACACGGUAGGCACCAAGCGUUGUCCGGAUUUAUUGGGCGUAAAGAGCUCGUAGGCGGUUCGGUAAGUCAGGUGUGAAAACUUUGGGCUCAACCCAAAGCCUGCAUCUGAUACUGCUGUGACUAGAGUUCGGUAGGGGAGCGGGGAAUUCCUAGUGUAGCGGUGAAAUGCGCAGAUAUUAGGAGGAACACCGGUGGCGAAGGCGCCGCUCUGGGCCGAAACUGACGCUGAGGAGCGAAAGCGUGGGUAGCAAACAGGAUUAGAUACCCUGGUAGUCCACGCCGUAAACGUUGGGCACUAGGUGUGGGUUUCAACCAACGAAAUCCGCGCCGUCGCUAACGCAUUAAGUGCCCCGCUGGGGAUCGGCCGCAAGGUUAAACUCAAAUGAAUUAGACGG